rnacentral:rRNA from 1 species
GAUCAUGGCUUAGAUUGAACGCUGGCGGCAGGCCUAACACAUGCAAGUCGAACGGUAACAGAAAGCAGCUUGCUGCUUUGCUGACGAGUGGCGGACGGGUGAGUAAUGUCUGGGAAACUGCCUGAUGGAGGGGGAUAACUACUGAAAACGGUAGCUAAUACCGCAUAACGUCGCAAGACCAAAGAGGGGGGACCUUCGGGCCUCUUGCCAUCGGAUGUGCCCAGAUGGGAUUAG